CACAACACUGAGAUGAAGGCGAAGUCACCAUGAAAAGUUAAACGUUUACCGUUAAGCUCAGAUUGUGAUGAACCUGGAAUGUGACACCAGUUACUCUUAAGACAAGAACCGAAUAAAGCACAGAUGUGGAGGGAUUUGCAGCCAAACUUACUGGAGGGAAGGAACCUUUAGUGUGGGUGAACAUACUCCCUGGAUGUCCAACAAAGGCUGCACAAGAGCUCAUUUGAUAGCACACAUUCUGUCCUGUCUACAUCUCUAAUGACCUGGAAGUGCUUCGACAUCAGAUCAUCAGAAGUGCUGCUGCCCUUUUUCACUGUCCCUUUCCACAUCAUUUGGCCUUCAUCAUGUCUUGUAGCAGUAUUUUCACCUGUUUUUAAAAUUGUAAUAAUUUUUGAUGUAUUAAUUGUUGACUGGUUUUAAUGAUCAAUUGUUUAUUAGUGUUCUGUUGCUUUAUAUUGAAUAAUUGCUACUGUUUUAGCAUGGUUUACACAAUAAACCUUUAUUGUGAA
ensembl:processed_transcript